GUAAGGAAUAUUGGUCAAUGGACGAAAGUCUGAACCAGCCAUGCCGCGUGGAGGAUGAAGGUCCUCUGGAUUGUAAACUUCUUUUAUCUGGGACGAAAAAAGGUCUUUCUAGAUCGUCUGACGGUACCAGAUGAAUAAGCACCGGCUAACUCCGUGCCAGCAGCCGCGGUAAUACGGAGGGUGCAAGCGUUAUCCGGAUUCACUAGGUUUAAAGGGUGCGUAGGUGGGUUGGUAAGUCAGUGGUGAAAUCUUCGAGCUUAACUCGGAAACUGCCAUUGAUACUAUCAGUCUUGAAUAUUGUGGAGGUUAGCGGAAUAUGUCAUGUAGCGGUGAAAUGCUUAGAUAUGACAUAGAACACCAAUUGCGAAGGCAGCUGGCUACACAUAUAUUGACACUGAGGCACGAAAGCGUGGGGAUCAAACAGGAUUAGAAACCCUUGUAGUCC
rnacentral:rRNA from 1 species